rnacentral:rRNA from 1 species
GUGCCAGCCGCCGCGGUAAGACGGAGGGCGCAAACGUUGUUCGGAAUCACUGGGCGUAAAGGGCGCGUAGGCGGGCCGGUAAGUCGAGGGUGAAAUUCCAGGGCUCAACUCUGGAACUGCCUUCGAAACUGUCGGCCUAGAGUGCAGGAGAGGAAGGCGGAAUUCCAGGUGUAGCGGUGGAAUGCGUAGAUAUCUGGAAGAACACCAGUGGCGAAGGCGGCCUUCUGGACUGACACUGACGCUGAUGCGCGAAAGCUGGGGGAGCAAACAGGAUUAGAUACCCUCGUAGUCC